ensembl:lncRNA
CCCCCAGCGCCCGGCGCCCCGCGGAAGCCCUCACACAGCGCUCGCACGUGGGCACGCUGAGUGCCGCGUGUGCUCCUCAGCACCACCCGAAACACGACGGACCCCGAGCAGAAAAGCAGCGUCCCCCGUGCGGGGCAGGACGCGGCGCGGCUCUGCUUCGGGGUAAAAAGGAGGUGGGUUUGUUGUGCGCCCCACGAGCACUCCGGGGAGGAAAGCCCCGAUGCAAACACACACCGGCACUCAUCCCGAGGUGCUCGCAGCAAGAACAAUGGGCACUCAGUGCCGCUCAGCCCGCACUGCCAGCGGCCUGCAACAAAGAGCAAGACAAAACAUCGACAGAGCGCGAGCUGCACGGCACUCAGGGCGUGCAUCUCCAAACCAGACCUUCGGCGUGGCACCAGCAGCAUCAAAGUUCGUAUUUACCAUGAAGAAAAGACGAGCUUAAAACCAAAGUGCUGCGUUAGUCCGAGUCCCUUCCACUCUUCAGAGAAGGGCUCGGUGCGCCCGCACGUCCUGCACGGGGCACCUCUGGGCGCAGCCACGCAGCGCACCAAACCCUACGGAUCCUUCGGCCCGUCGGUACAAAUCCCGCAGCACCCCGGCAUGGCAGUGCAUGCCGUGCCCGUCCUCGCAGACCGGUGCUGCCGGCAGCCAGCUCGUCUCAUCACAAACACAGUGAAUCACACACCGGAUUUGCCAGCAGAACGUUAGUUGGGGCUAGCAGCAACCGCAGGAGAAAAUAAAUGCGGCACAGAGAGCCGUUCUGCGCUACUCCUCAUCGGUGCCUCUGCUUUUGUGGCUGCCACAGCCCCGUCUCACCCCUCCUAACUGGUAAAACAAGUCGCUAACUGGGAGUCCUGCCUCCAACACGGAGAUAACCAGACAAAGAAUUACAGCCGGGCGGGAGGCAGCGCGCACAGUACGGCGAAGUAAUAUCCGUACGGAUGCGGCGUUACCCCUCCCGGAAAAAAACAAACGCUGCUGAAGUUUUGCUUUUCGAACAAAAAUCACCUGAAUGCCAACAGCUGUUACAUUUGAAUACCUGCUCCGUACCCACGGAGCUGGGAAACUGAUCUUUAAAGACAGUGCUUCCUUUCCUACAGAAAGAGAUGAGACAGAGUACGACAGCGCUGCCUUUUGUUACUGCAACACUAAUUCAGAUUAAAGGUAAAUGUCCUGGAAGCUUAUAAUCCCAAAGCCUCUGAAAUCACUGAUCAGGGAAAAAUAUUUUCGGAAAGGCCUUUUUUUUUUUUUUUUUUUUUUUUUUUGCUGACAACCUGCACGUUUACUCCUUUUUUUGCCAUCUUUGUGCCAUGCCGCCAUCCGGAAUCAAACGCAGUGCGCGGGGCUGCGGCAGGGAAGAGGAAAACGGGCAGUGAAGCACAGACGAAACUCCGCUGAGUGAGUGCCAGGUCGGCGUGCUGCUGGCGCCCGGCAGCCCCACACAGCUGCAGCACGGGCAGCUCGAGCAGCACGGCCCUGCAGCUCCCGGCUGGCGCUCCGCCGUCCUGCCCUGCUCUGUGCGCUCCUCACCUUCCAGCUCUUCCCACUUCUAAAGAGGGGAUCCCGGCUGCUUGCUUUGCCUGCUCCGCACCCGCAGCCGCCAGCUGCCCGCCGGCCCCACGCACUGCGGGCUCCUCUGACAUCAAACCACGGUUUUCUCCAGAAAAGAGCGAGCGCAAACAAAGUGCCCUGCCUCCAUCCUUGGCACUGCGAACCUACGUGCCAGACUUGUGUCCACCACGAGGACCCAGAGCCCCUCCGCUGGACCUUGCAGCAUCUAUUCCGCCCCAAGUGUGCAAACAAAGCAGCCUGAGUUUGCUGAAAUUCCCCCUAAUUCACGCUGCGGCAGAUGAACGGGCAGCCUCCUUUUCUUUUCCGAGCUAACAGAUUCCUAAAUGCCACUGUCCUGUUUUCCUUCCUUUCUGCAAAACCGCAGGAUGCAGUCUGGUAUCUCAUCAUCAGCUCCCCUCGGUGCCCUGCCCUCGGUUUAUGAAUUUUCACUUAAGUCAAGUUAACCAAGUAAUGCCGCGUACACAUCUGAAUCAUUCCUUGGUUAUUUCCUUCUGUGAUUUCAAUCCUCUGUUUCUAAUCAAAUUAUGAAACUAAAUUUCCACUUAUCAUGUGACUAUCGGGGCAUCUGUUCAUAAUCUGUCCAAUUCCUACAAAUACUCCUUUCUUUAGCUUUUGGAAAUUUGGCAGCUCUCUGCAAAAUCUUCUCCGUGUCAUUUGCGCCCGGUGCUUCUCUCUAAUGCCAAGUGUAAAUUGCAAACCACGGAUGGCAAACACAGGGAAACCAUUUCCGUGGCUUUCACCGGGAAUGUUUUCAAGCAAAGGUACCGCUGUCCCAUUUUCUAAACCAACAAUAAUUCUGAAAAGCGUUUGCUGAAAAUUUCUGACUUUCGAGGGACAAAGGAACUCCUCGCACACAGACCCCAUUUUUCGCAGGGCUUUCUUUCCUCAGGAGCACUCUGCGCGCAUGAAGGGAGGGAGACCUCAGCGCCUUCGUUUUCCUCCUCUGUCUGACAGCACAGAACCUUUUGUUGCGCUCCCCCCACUUGCAGGGCAGCACUUCGGCUGCUGUGCUCCUCUUCUGGCGCUGACCUUUUCCAUUAGGAGACGCUCGCAGGUAUUACCGAGCAGUUCUUCACCUUCAGCCAGCCCUCCUGCAUUAACGCUGCCGGCGUUCAUUCUCUCCUUCUUUUUACUUUCUUUGCUCUCUCCUCAUCUGCAUCACCUUGCAAAUUUCUCUUCAAGGUUUGCACCUUCCUGGAGUAAUUUUUCCCAGUUGUGCUUUUCCAGGACUGAGCACAACCUGAGCGCAACCACCGACCUCCCGACGCUCCCCCAUUGUGUCAGCAUGGCGCUGAGCAGGGAGCGCUCCCACACCUCCCCAGCGCUCAGCAGCCUCGGAACAGCGAGGGCUUCAGAUCUGCCCUGCACCCAUUUUCCUCGUCUAUUUCAGGCGCGAUGACUCAGAUUAUCAAAGCGCUGCUCGAUGAUCACCAAAGGAAGAAAUGAUAAAAAGUGAUUCAACGGAACCAAAAAUCUGAAGGAAAGAGGGAUUCCUCCUCCGCUGAGCAGUCUGCUCUCUUUGUGACUCUCUCAUACAGAGCUUCUGCUCAACGGCUCAGGGGUGGAAAGAGCGCCUUUGAAGUGACCACUCUCACAGUUCCACAGCUGCGAAGAGCAGCAGCAAGGCGUGCCUGUAUGUGAUGCACAGCAUCAGUGUGCUGGUGCACAACUACGUGCACAAAUAAAAACGGGUGUCCCACACCACCUCCUGAUGCUCCCCACCGCUGCUGGCCAAGGAGCAGCGCCCAGCCCAGGCCCCUGUGCCUGACCCAUAACUGACCCACGCCCCAUAAGUGGUCCCAGUGCCCCAUACCCAGACCCAGUGCCCUGCACCUGAUCCCAACAUCCUGCACCUGGCCGCAGUGCUCGGUAACCAGAACCAGAGCCCCACACCUGGCCCCAGCACCCCAUGCCGGGCCCCAAGCUCCCGAGCCGGGUUUGAUCCCUUUGUGCAGUUGGGAUCUCCACUCAAUCAUCUGCAGUCUUUCAUAACGCUGCUCUCAUUCGCACAGCAAAAGCCAGUCGGAUGAUUAGAGCCUUUCAAAACACUCCUCAGUCCAAAUAACGCCCACAGCAGUGUCCCAGCAGCUGACCAGUAGCAAGAAGGGCAGGAACCCAAGGCCUGGGACAGAACGGGCAGCCCACGAGGGCCUACGGAGCCCUGACAUCACCCAGCAAAGCACCGUGCUGCUUCCUGCUCUGCCCUGGCAUUUGAUGAGGAGAACAGGGAUGGGUAAGCCGAUGGAGACGUUGGUCAGCACCCAUGGUUGGUGGGUAGAAGGGCUCCCGUGGAGCUGGCUGUGCCUGGCGGUGCUGGGACUCGGGGACACCUCACAUCUCCAGAGCCUCUCCUGAGCAGAGUGACGCUUCGGCCAUGGAGCAGCAGGGAUACGGCACAGCUGGGACCUUCAGCAACCACAGGCAGUGGGCACACAGACAACGCACCUCAGUGCACACUGCAGCACCGCAGAACAACGUCUGUAAGACUUUGCAAUGCCAGAGAUGAGGCAGCUGAGAGCUGUGGCACUACUGAUGCUGCAGAACUGCGGCCCGACGGCUGAGCAGCACUGACCUGAGCACAUGGAGCUGCAGCCUGGGGAGGACCCUCCAAAGUGACUCGGGUUUUGGGAGCUGGCGAACAAACAAAGCUUUGCAGUGGCUUUACAGAACAGCACAAGCAAACGUUUGCUGCAUCACAGGGAGCCCAAGUGACACACGGGGCCUUUUUUGUCCAGAAAUCCAUCCACGCCUCUUUCAAUGAGGAACAUACGCUCGGGGCGCGUUGUUACACGUUUCACUAUAAGAAAAAGUGCACGGUGUCAAUCUGCUGUCACACGGCACAACACGGGUGUGUAACAGCAUCAGUCAGAACGGGGCUGACAGCGAUCAGAUCGAAGCAGUGUCUGCCGCUUUGUGUACGGAGCCGCUCCCAAACCCCACAGCCCCGAUCCUCACCGCAGCUCCCAGCACACCAUCCCUAGCGGUGCUGAUGCACUGAACAGGUUGCCCAAGGAGGCUGUGGAUGCCCCAUCCCUGGAGGCAUUCAAGGCCAGGCUGAAUGUGGCUCUGGGCAGCCUGGGCUGGUGGUUGGCGACCCUGCACAUAGCAGGGGGUUGGAACGAGAUGAUCCUUGUGGUCCUUUUCAACCCAGGCCAUUCUAUGAUUAUGAUUCCAUAACCCUGUGACUGCGCAGCACCGAAGCUGAGAGCACCUCCAAGAGCCCACUUUGCCCAACACCCCAAACCCGGUGCCACCUGGCAGGGAUCAGCACUGUGGUCAUUUACAAGGGGAGACAUGCAGGAGGUGGAGCACUGAUGACACGCAGGAACCAACGCCGUGCAGAGAAAGGCAGUUUUGCACAGUUCUUCCCUGAGACAAAUCCCAACGGCUUGCAGGCAAGAACUCCUGAGCCACGCUCUGCU